rnacentral:rRNA from 1 species
UACGAAGGGGGCUAGCGUUGCUCGGAAUCACUGGGCGUAAAGCACACGUAGGCGGAUUUCUAAGUCAGGGGUGAAAUCCUGGAGCUCAACUCCAGAACUGCCUUUGAUACUGGGAAUCUUCGAGUCCGGGAGAGGUGAGUGGAACUGCGAGUGUAGAGGUGAAAUUCGUAGAUAUUCGCAAGAACACCAGUGGCGAAGGCGGCUCACUGGCCCGGUACUGACGCUGAGGUGCGAAAGCGUGGGGAGCAAACAGGG